GUGCGAGUAACCAGUACGGAUUGUUCUUUCGAGGCAAGUGCCACGCGUUCACUGAUCCAAGUCUUGCUCCGUGAUUUUCAAAACAUGAAAUACAUAACGGUGCUGUUUAUCGUCGCCCUUGCUGUGGCUGUUUGCUCGGCAAAUAUCUUGGACCAAAUCAAUAAAAUCGUACCCAACCCGUGCAGUGGCUUCCAAAAAUUCUUAUGCGAAACUAAAUGCCUCUUCGAUUCAACUGCCGUUUGCGCAAAAUCGGAUAAGUCAUUGGGAUAUAGUUGCACAUGUAUCGACAUAUAAGAAAAACCUAAGCUGUCAUAAUGAUAAACUUUUACUUUUUAACACACUUUGCAAUGUUUUGUAACUCAUUAACCAGUUGUAACGAAGAUAUAUAUUUUUUAACCCGAAUAAACGUACAGCACUAACAGUUGACUAAUAAAAAAUCCAAUUAUGCAGUGCAUCAUACCACUCUAUUAAUUGCGUAAAUAAAAUAAACAUGUUAUUUAUACCUGUAAAACUUUUGUAACAAAAUAAAUCAUAAUUAAAAUUCUUUA